CACACUAUCAUUAACUGAAUCCAUAGGUUAAUGAGGCGAACCGGGGGAACUGAAACAUCUAAGUACCCCGAGGAAAAGAAAUCAACCGAGAUUCCCCCAGUAGCGGCGAGCGAACGGGGAGGAGCCCAGAGCCUGAAUCAGUGUGUGUGUUAGUGGAAGCGUCUGGAAAGGCGCGCGAUACAGGGUGACAGCCCCGUACACAAAAAUGCACAUACUGUGAGCUCGAUGAGUAGGGCGGGACACGUGGUAUCCUGUCUGAAUAUGGGGGGACCAUCCUCCAAGGCUAAAUACUCCUGACUGACCGAUAGUGAACCAGUACCGUGAGGGAAAGGCGAAAAGAACCCCGGCGAGGGGAGUGAAAAAGAACCUGAAACCGUGUACGUACAAGCAGUGGGAGCCUCUUAAUGGGGUGACUGCGUACCUUUUGUAUAAUGGGUCAGCGACUUAUAUUCUGUAGCAAGGUUAACCGAAUAGGGGAGCCGAAGGGAAACCGAGUCUUAACUGGGCGUUAAGUUGCAGGGUAUAGACCCGAAACCCGGUGAUCUAGCCAUGGGCAGGUUGAAGGUUGGGUAACACUAACUGGAGGACCGAACCGACUAAUGUUGAAAAAUUAGCGGAUGACUUGUGGCUGGGGGUGAAAGGCCAAUCAAACCGGGAGAUAGCUGGUUCUCCCCGAAAGCUAUUUAGGUAGCGCCUCGUGAAUUCAUCUCCGGGGGUAGAGCACUGUUUCGGCAAGGGGGUCAUCCCGACUUACCAACCCGAUGCAAACUGCGAAUACCGGAGAAUGUUAUCACGGGAGACACACGGCGGGUGCUAACGUCCGUCGUGAAGAGGGAAACAACCCAGACCGCCAGCUAAGGUCCCAAAGUCAUGGUUAAGUGGGAAACGAUGUGGGAAGGCCCAGACAGCCAGGAUGUUGGCUUAGAAGCAGCCAUCAUUUAAAGAAAGCGUAAUAGCUCACUGGUCGAGUCGGCCUGCGCGGAAGAUGUAACGGGGCUAAACCAUGCACCGAAGCUGCGGCAGCGACACUAUGUGUUGUUGGGUAGGGGAGCGUUCUGUAAGCCUGUGAAGGUGUACUGUGAGGUAUGCUGGAGGUAUCAGAAGUGCGAAUGCUGACAUAAGUAACGAUAAAGCGGGUGAAAAGCCCGCUCGCCGGAAGACCAAGGGUUCCUGUCCAACGUUAAUCGGGGCAGGGUGAGUCGACCCCUAAGGCGAGGCCGAAAGGCGUAGUCGAUGGGAAACAGGUUAAUAUUCCUGUACUUGGUGUUACUGCGAAGGGGGGACGGAGAAGGCUAUGUUGGCCGGGCGACGGUUGUCCCGGUUUAAGCGUGUAGGCUGGUUUUCCAGGCAAAUCCGGAAAACUAAGGCUGAGGCGUGAUGACGAGGCACUACGGUGCUGAAGCAACAAAUGCCCUGCUUCCAGGAAAAGCCUCUAAGCAUCAGGUAACAUCAAAUCGUACCCCAAACCGACACAGGUGGUCAGGUAGAGAAUACCAAGGCGCUUGAGAGAACUCGGGUGAAGGAACUAGGCAAAAUGGUGCCGUAACUUCGGGAGAAGGCACGCUGAUAUGUAGGUGAAGCGACUUGCUCGUGGAGCUGAAAUCAGUCGAAGAUACCAGCUGGCUGCAACUGUUUAUUAAAAACACAGCACUGUGCAAACACGAAAGUGGACGUAUACGGUGUGACGCCUGCCCGGUGCCGGAAGGUUAAUUGAUGGGGUUAGCGGUAACGCGAAGCUCUUGAUCGAAGCCCCGGUAAACGGCGGCCGUAACUAUAACGGUCCUAAGGUAGCGAAAUUCCUUGUCGGGUAAGUUCCGACCUGCACGAAUGGCGUAAUGAUGGCCAGGCUGUCUCCACCCGAGACUCAGUGAAAUUGAACUCGCUGUGAAGAUGCAGUGUACCCGCGGCAAGACGGAAAGACCCCGUGAACCUUUACUAUAGCUUGACACUGAACAUUGAGCCUUGAUGUGUAGGAUAGGUGGGAGGCUUUGAAGUGUGGACGCCAGUCUGCAUGGAGCCGGCCUUGAAAUACCACCCUUUAAUGUUUGAUGUUCUAACGUUGGCCCCUGAUCGGGGUUGCGGACAGUGUCUGGUGGGUAGUUUGACUGGGGCGGUCUCCUCCUAAAGAGUAACGGAGGAGCACGAAGGUUGGCUAAUCCUGGUCGGACAUCAGGAGGUUAGUGCAAUGGCAUAAGCCAGCUUGACUGCGAGCGUGACGGCGCGAGCAGGUGCGAAAGCAGGUCAUAGUGAUCCGGUGGUUCUGAAUGGAAGGGCCAUCGCUCAACGGAUAAAAGGUACUCCGGGGAUAACAGGCUGAUACCGCCCAAGAGUUCAUAUCGACGGCGGUGUUUGGCACCUCGAUGUCGGCUCAUCACAUCCUGGGGCUGAAGUAGGUCCCAAGGGUAUGGCUGUUCGCCAUUUAAAGUGGUACGCGAGCUGGGUUUAGAACGUCGUGAGACAGUUCGGUCCCUAUCUGCCGUGGGCGCUGGAGAACUGAGGGGGGCUGCUCCUAGUACGAGAGGACCGGAGUGGACGCAUCACUGGUGUUCGGGUUGUCAUGCCAAUGGCACUGCCCGGUAGCUAAAUGCGGAAGAGAUAAGUGCUGAAAGCAUCUAAGCACGAAACUUGCCCCGAGAUGAGUUCUCCCUGACUCCUUGAGAGUCCUGAAGGAACGUUGAAGACGACGACGUUGAUAGGCCGGGUGUGUAAGCGCAGCGAUGCGUUGAGCUAACCGGUACUAAUGAACCGUGAGGCUUAACCUU
rnacentral:rRNA from 1 species